rnacentral:rRNA from 1 species
GGUUAAGUGACUAAGCGUACACGGUGGAUGCCUUGGCAGUCAGAGGCGAUGAAGGACGUAGUAACUUGCGAUAAGCUCAGAUUAGGCAGUAACAGCCACUUGAGUCUGAGAUUUCCGAAUGGGGAAACCCAACUGCAUAAGCAGUUACUGUUAACUGAAUACAUAGGUUAACAGGGCGAACCGGGGGAACUGAAACAUCUAAGUACCCCGAGGAGAAGAAAUCAACCGAGAUUCCGAUAGUAGCGGCGAGCGAAAUUGGAUUAGCCCUUAAGCUUUACAUGCGUCAGGUGAAGGUUCUGGAAAGGACCGCGAAACAGGGUGAUAGCCCCGUAGCCGACAGCGCAUGUUCAGUGAAAUCGAGUAGGGCGGGACACGUGUUAUCCUGUCUGAAUAUGGGGGGACCAUCCUCCAAGGCUAAAUACUCCUGACUGACCGAUAGUGAACCAGUACCGUGAGGGAAAGGCGAAAAGAACCCCUGUGAGGGGAGUGAAAUAGAACCUGAAACCGUGUACGUACAAGCAGUAGGAGCCUCUUCGUGGGGUGACUGCGUACCUUUUGUAUAAUGGGUCAGCGACUUAUAUUCAGUGGCAAGGUUAACCAUUUAGGGGAGCCGUAGGGAAACCGAGUCUUAACUGGGCGUUCAGUCUCUGGAUAUAGACCCGAAACCGGGUGAUCUAGCCAUGGGCAGGUUGAAGGUUGAGUAACAUCAACUGGAGGACCGAACCGACUAAUGUUGAAAAAUUAGCGGAUGACUUGUGGCUAGGGGUGAAAGGCCAAUCAAACUCGGAGAUAGCUGGUUCUCCCCGAAAGCUAUUUAGGUAGCGCCUCGGACGAAUACUACUGGGGGUAGAGCACUGUUAAGGCUAGGGGGUCAUCCCGACUUACCAACCCUUUGCAAACUCCGAAUACCAGUAAGUACUAUCCGGGAGACACACGGCGGGUGCUAACGUCCGUCGUGGAGAGGGAAACAACCCAGACCGCCAGCUAAGGUCCCAAAUUACAGCUAAGUGGGAAACGAUGUGGGAAGGCUCAGACAGCUAGGAUGUUGGCUUAGAAGCAGCCAUCAUUUAAAGAAAGCGUAAUAGCUCACUAGUCGAGUCGGCCUGCGCGGAAGAUGUAACGGGGCUAAGCUGUAAACCGAAGCUGCGGCAAUGCGAUUUAUCGUAUUGGGUAGGGGAGCGUUCUGUAAGCCGUUGAAGGUGUGUUGUAAAGCAUGCUGGAGGUAUCAGAAGUGCGAAUGCUGACAUGAGUAACGACAAGGGGGGUGAAAAACCUCCCCGCCGGAAGACCAAGGGUUCCUGUCCAACGUUAAUCGGGGCAGGGUAAGUCGACCCCUAAGGCGAGGCCGAAAGGCGUAGUCGAUGGGAAACGGGUUAAUAUUCCCGUACUUCUUACAAUUGCGAUGGGGGGACGGAGAAGGCUAGGUGGGCCUGGCGACGGUUGUCCAGGUUCAAGUGCGUAGGCUUGAGG